GAUGAAGAACGUAGCGAAAUGCGAUAAGUAGUGUGAAUUGCAGAAUUCAGUGAAUCAUCGAAUCUUUGAACGCACAUUGCGCCCCAUGGUAUUCCGUGGGGCAUGCCUGUUCGAGCGUCAUUUACCCCCUCAAGCUCCGCUUGGUGUUGGGCGUCUGUCCCGCUUCGCGCGCGGACUCGCCCCAAAGGUAUUGGCAGCGGUCGUGCCAGCUUCUCGCGCAGCACAUUGCGCUUCUCGAGGCACCGGCGGGCCCGCGUCCAUCAAGCUACACCCCCCCAGUUUGACCUCGGAUCAGGUAGGGAUACCCGCUGAACUUAAGCAUAUCAAUAAGCGGAGGA
rnacentral:misc_RNA from 1 species